rnacentral:misc_RNA from 1 species
AUAGUUGAAUAGAAAACGGAUAUAUUUUGAGAACGUUUUUUCAGAGAGGGCCUGGUUGAUGUGAGGGCCUAAUUCCUAAUCAAAAGGCUCCCGUUUAUUAAUUAAUUUAAAAAAGAGACACAAACAUUGUGUGAAGCCCGGUGGUACCGCGAUUUAUCGCCCGGGCA